GACGAACGCUGGCGGCGUGCCUAAUACAUGCAAGUUGAGCGCUGAAGGUUGGUACUUGUACCAACUGGAUGAGCAGCGAACGGGUGAGUAACGCGUGGGGAAUCUGCCUUUGAGCGGGGGACAACAUUUGGAAACGAAUGCUAAUACCGCAUAAAAACUUUAAACACAAGUUUUAAGUUUGAAAGAUGCAAUUGCAUCACUCAAAGAUGAUCCCGCGUUGUAUUAGCUAGUUGGUGAGGUAAAGGCUCACUAAGGCGAUGAUACAUAGCCGACCUGAGAGGGUGAUCGGCCACAUUGGGACUGAGACACGGCCCAAACUCCUACGGGAGGCAGCAGUAGGGAAUCUUCGGCAAUAGACGAAAGUCUGACCGAGCAACGCCGCGUGAGUGAAGAAGGUUUUCGGAUCGGAAAACUCUGUUGGUAGAGAAGAACGUUGGUGAGAGUGGAAAGCUCAUCAAGUGACGGUAACUACCCAGAAAGGGACGGCUAACUACGUG
rnacentral:rRNA from 1 species